AGAAUGAACGCUAGCGAUAUGCUUAACACAUGCAAGUUGAACGUUGUUUUCGAAUCAGAAUGAGAACAAAGUAGCGAACGGGUGCGUAACACGUGGGAAUCUGCCGAACAGUUUGGGCCAAAUCCCGAAUGAAUAAAAGCUAAAAAGCGCUGUUUGAUGAGCCCACGUAGUAUUAGGUAGUUGGUUAGGUAAAAGCUGACCAAGCCUACGAUGCUUAGCUGGUCUUUUCGGAUGAUCAGCCACACUGGGACUGAGACACGGCCCAGACUCCUACGGGAGGCAGCAGUGGGGAAUCUUGGACAAUGGGCGAAAGCCUGAUCCGGCAAUAUGGCGUGAGUGGAAGAAGGGCAAACGCAGCUUGUAAAGCUCUUUCAUCGAGUGUGCGAUUGUGACAAGACUCGAAUAAGAAGCCCGGCUAACUCCGCGCCAGCAGCCGC
rnacentral:rRNA from 1 species